AAUUUAACUGUGCAAUUCAGUUUAAUUUGAUAUUUUAAUUCUUACUUAUUUUAAUUAAAUAAUUUUGAGAAAUAUC
rnacentral:tRNA from 1 species